GGGGCUGUAGCUCAGCUGGUUAGAGUGCCACACUGUCACUGUGGAGGUCAGGGGUUCGAUCCCCCUCAGCCUCG
rnacentral:tRNA from 1 species